AGAUUGAACGCUGGCGGCAUGCCUUACACAUGCAAGUCGAACGGCAGCACGGGAGCAAUCCUGGUGGCGAGUGGCGAACGGGUGAGUAAUACAUCGGAACGUGCCCAGUAGUGGGGGAUAGCCCGGCGAAAGCCGGAUUAAUACCGCAUACGACCUAUGGGUGAAAGCGGGGGAUCGCAAGACCCUGCGCUAUUGGAGCGGCCGAUGUCAGAUUAGCUAGUUGGUGGGUAAAAGCCUACCAAGGCGACGAUCUGUAGCUGGUCUGAGAGGACGACCAGCCACACUGGGACUGAGACACGGCCCAGACUCCUACGGGAGGCAGCAGGUGGGGAAUUUUGGACAAGUGGGCGCAAGCCUGAUCCAGCCAUCGCCGCGUGCGGGAAGAAGGCCUUCGGGUUGUAAACCGUCUUUUAGUCGAAGGGAAAGAACGGCUUACGAGACUAAGUACCCGAGUAAUGACCGUACUGAAAGAAUAAGACGAACCGGCUAAACGUACGUAGACCGAACGAA
rnacentral:rRNA from 1 species